rnacentral:rRNA from 1 species
UACGAAGGAAGCUAGCGUUGUUCGGAAUUACUGGGCGUAAAGGGCGCGUAGGCGGUUUAGUAAGUCAGAUGUGAAAGCCCCGGGCUUAACCUGGGAACAGCAUUUGAUACUGCUAGACUUGAGAUCGAAAGAGGAGAGUGGAAUUGCGAGUGUAGAGGUGAAAUUCGUAGAUAUUCGCUGGAACACCAGUGGCGAAGGCGACUCUCUGGUUCGAUACUGACGGUAAGGCGCGAAAGCGUGGGGAGCAAACAGG